AAAAUCCGUCGACUUUAGAAAUCGUGAGGGUUCAAGUU
rnacentral:tRNA from 1 species